UACGUAGGGUGCAAGCGUUGUCCGGAAUUAUUGGGCGUAAAGAGCUCGUAGGCGGUUUGUCGCGUCUGCUGUGAAAUCUGGGGGCUCAACCCCCAGCCUGCAGUGGGUACGGGCAGACUAGAGUGCGGUAGGGGAGAUUGGAAUUCCUGGUGUAGCGGUGGAAUGCGCAGAUAUCAGGAGGAACACCGAUGGCGAAGGCAGGUCUCUGGGCCAUUACUGACACUGAGAAGCGAAAGCAUGGGGAGCAAACAGG
rnacentral:rRNA from 1 species